rnacentral:rRNA from 1 species
AGAAUCAACGCUGGCGGCGUGCCUAACACAUGCAAGUCGAACGAGAAAGUGGAGCAAUCCAUGAGUACAGUGGCGACCGGGUGAGUAACACGUGACUACCUACCCUUGAGUGGGGGAUAACCUCGGGAAACCGAGGCUAAUACCGCAUAAUAUCGAGAGAUCAAAGGAGUAAUCCGCUUUUGGAGGGGGUCGCGGCUGAUUAGCUAGUUGGUAGGGUAAAGGCCUACCAAGGCGACGAUCGGUAGCUGGUCUGAGAGGAUGAUCAGCCACAAUGGGACUGAGACACGGCCCAUACUCCUACGGGAGGCAGCAGUGGGGAAUUUUGUGCAAUGGGGGAAACCCUGACACAGCGACACCGCGUGAGCGAAGAAGCCCUUUGGGGUGUAAAGCUCUGUCGGCUGGAACGAAAAAAUGACGGUACCAGCAAAGGAAGCAUCGGCUAACUACGUGCCAGCAGCCGC